rnacentral:rRNA from 1 species
UACGUAGGGGGCAAGCGUUAUCCGGAUUUACUGGGUGUAAAGGGAGCGUAGACGGCAGGGCAAGUCUGGAGUGAAAGGCAGGGGCCCAGCCCCUGGACUGCUCUGGAAACUGUCCGGCUGGAGUGCAGGAGAGGUAAGUGGAAUUCCUAGUGUAGCGGUGAAAUGCGUAGAUAUUAGGAGGAGCACCAGUGGCGAAGGCGGCUUACUGGACUGUAACUGACGUUGAGGCUCGAAAGCGUGGGGAGCAAACAGG